CAAAACAGCUAUGCAUGUUACUCCUCUCAAAUCAACAUCAUCUUCUUGUUUACCAUUUGGUGCUGGCUAGUGAAUUCCCUAAUCAUGUAGUGCUAAUUUUGCAGUAGGGCAAUGUAUACAGCCAAACACAUCGCUAUAACUCCAUUGUCCUUUCUAACGGAAAUUGAGGAAUAUAAGCGCAUCAUCAUCUCUUCACAAACGGCAAACCUACGUUGAACACGAUGAUUCAAUUUUUUCAGAUAAAUUUAACAUAAAUAACGCAUGCACAAAGGCAAAAAUAGUAGAAUUUGUUUAGUGCAAGUACACCUAGGCAGACUUCACAGUGUUAAAGAUAUCAAUUACAAAACGAACAAAAAUAAUUUUCUCAUAUUGUUUAGUUUAAAAUCAGGAAACAACAAAAAUUUCUGAACAAAGACAGAGGACAAAACUCAAACAAAUAAAUCCAUAGAAGCCCAAAAGAAUUGAAAAACUCACCCAAAGAAAGAUUACACCUCGG
rnacentral:lncRNA from 1 species